UUUAUUUGUAUUCAAGCUUACAGAUAAACAUUUCAUGAUUCCAGAAACUGCCUGUAUGUACAGUCUGUUCAUGUGAUAUUUUGUUUCUUGAAAGCUUCUAUCGAUAAAAAAAACCCAGACAUGUACCCAUCCUAUAGCUACAUUUUGUCAUCAAAGACAAUGGGAGUGCAGAAUUCUGGUUUACUCGCCCACGCACUGAAGAAAAUUGUAUGUCAUUCCUGCAUCCUGAUUGGCUGAUGAUUGCAAGGGAUGGAUAUGUUUUCUUUCUUCUUUCUUUUGUUUCUUGCUUUUAGGAAACUUGAACGUCCUCUUUCCUUGAUUUUCCCACUAGUCCAUCUACAACCUUUAAUGGGAAAUUUUACCGAAGGUGCUUAGUCACAUUACCAGACCAUGGGAGUGAGGUUUUGCUAUUAUUUCUGUUGUCACACAUGUUUAAAAAUAUGAACAGCUUUUUCUAUUUUUGCUUUUUGAGGCAGUGAGAAAAAAGGGCAUUGAAAAAAUACACAGCAUUAAAGUAAUAAAAUAUCUAGUGAAUUUCCUCUGUAUUUCAAGCUAAUUAUGUUUUCCACUUUGUCACACACAGCUAAGAAGCAUUUAAAGUGAUGCAAACUAGAAGAGGGUUAAUAUACAAAGUAUAGCUUCAUCUGCCACUCUUCAAGCAGAGAAUCACUCUUCCCCCUCAACCAAAACUUUCAAGUUCUAUAGCUUAGUGUAACCAUUUUAAUUGUUUUUUUUCUGCAAGGCAUGAAGAUAAACCAUGCAUGAAUCAAUACAUGAAUGAAUCAGCCUCUGGUCUAGCUUACUGAUGUACUCAUCAUUUAUAGCCUUGCAUAAUUUAAAGAAAUUGAAACUGUAGCUGGGCUUUGAAUUCAGCUAAAUGUGGCCUGUUUACACACUCCAAUAGGGUUUCAUCUUCCAGAAAAACUAAUUCUGUAGGGACUGCUUAAGAAGGAUGAAAACAUCUAAGGUUUUGUGCUAAAAUAGAUGCAGUUAAUUACCUAGAUGUCCCAGCACUUUAAGCCAAAGCCUGGAAAGAUCACCAGCCUCUUGUCUUUGCCACCUAUAAUCUCACUUAAUUCAAAGGGGGCUUGGGUUCCCUAGGCAAAAUGUGUUUGGACCCCAAAUUCAGUAAGGUGAAAUAUCAGCCACUGACAGAAAGAGUCAGAUUCAUCUCAGUGAACUGUAGCUGCUUAAAAAUAGGCAUGUAUUCUAAAUUACUUGUCCAGGUUCCUGCAAUGCACUGACAUACUCCCCGUCAUCCAGCUGCUCCUUCAGCCCCUGGCGUUGCCCCUUGGAUAGCCAGGAUGCAACUUCUGGGACCACCACUUCUUAACUGGCUGGGUCUUGAAUCUUAGCCUUAAUUGUCCUCUGCCGCUAGCCUUAAACAGAAUGAGAUUUCAGGCCACAAAAAGCAAGUGACAGUAACUAUUCCCAACAUUUUCUGAAAACUCCCCUUAUUAUCAGCAUGUUCCCUUCUGCAUCCUAUAUCUUUUCUUGUCACAUAUCACAGGGGUGAGGUCUAAUGGGAACACAAUGCCUGCCAGGUUCCCUGAGAGAUCUUCCCCUCCAGGAAUGGUGCUUUUCCUCCAUUCUCUCCGCUUCCUCAUAAGCGCACCCUGCAGUUCCCCCAGGCACCAGUGGAAACAGGGGACCCUGACAGAUUACCACCACAGUCUCUCUCUUAUUUUGGAUUUCAUUGGCCUUUGGUGGGGCAACUCUGUUUCUAUCGUCUCUCUUGGUUGCACCCUCCCAGGGAUACGUCUUUUAUACUCUGAAUUUUAAAAGAUUCCAGGGAAGUAUUUGUGUCUCUCAAAAGUCCAGUAUCUGUUUGAAGUGCUCAGAUUUAGCAAUUACAAUUACAAAACAGUAGAAGCCUAUAUGUGAGGAAAGAUUUUUUGGUUUGGAAGGAAAUUUUCACUUUGGUUGUAACUGUCAAAGGAGAUUUCACAGCCAUCCAUGUUACAUCUCACCCCUGCAGCUGACAUCAGAGCAACCUUUGCUGCUUGAGUGAAAGGAGACUCCGGAAGAUACACUAUUCAAUUUUGUACAGAGAAGAAACAAAAAAACGUAUUGUCAGAACCAGUCCAGAGCUCCACAUUGAAUAACAUCUGUAUUUAAAGAGAAACACAGGGUUGGGGUCGGGGUCUUAAUGAGUUAUUGUUAUUUCCUAAAGACGCAGAUGAAGUGUUUGGUUCUGUGAAAGUCAGAGAUCUCAAAACAGCCAUGUCCCAUUAACACGGCACAUCAAACACCACAGGCUGAUUUUGAGUUCAGCUGAAGGCUGAGGAUUUACACCACUGACAACAGCCAUGCAUCUGGUCACAUACAGUCAGGAAAUGAAUAACUCUGCUUGAACUGAGGAGAGUGAGGGUGCAAUAAAAACAUAUCCUGCAAAGGGAUCUGCAAGGGGAAAUGGGAGGGGAGCUCAGCUCACAUGAGAAGAACAAAGCCCCUCUCACGCCGGACCUACUCUUCUGCAAAACACAGCACAGGAAAGGGACCAAGCCUCAAAAAAUUACCAGGGAGAUAUAUCCAAGCCAGUAGCUCAGCAAGCAUGAAAGCCUGUACCCAGGGUGCCAAAAGGGCACCAAAAGGUCCUCCUUGUGCUGAGCAACCUGGCCUCUGAGCAGAAACCAGCCCUGGGCUGCAGGGUACUGAUGAAUGUCUGGCUUGUCGCUCACCCUAAUGCCUACGGUAACUAAGAAGUUGAGACCACGUGUUCUGCGUCUGCCUGUGAAGUAAGAAACUACACAUUUUAUUUGGCUAGGCCAGGUACAGUGUUGGUAUUUGUUUCUGUAACCACAGAUGGAUUUUGGAAACAGUUAAGCAACAAGCACACCCAGAAGGGCUGAGAAAGAGUACAAGAGCAUGCACUCUCUUGUUAUUUCUGAUAUUCCCAAAGUGAAACAAACACAGAAAAAGAAGUUGAGAGCCUUUUUUAACACAUUAUAUUUCAGUGAGAAGGGGCAUACAUUCUGUUUUGUUUAGGGUUUUCUUAAUACAUUACCCUCAGUGACUUCAGUCUUGCCCACCUCAGGCAGAAAAAAAAUACCACUGACCUGCAUGGAAAGCGUGUUUCCAGAAGGGAAGCAGGAGCAGUCGGUCCCUAAGUGGGUUAAGUAGAAAAUAUACCUAUUCUUGCUUAACAAUUAAACAGCUUUGCAUGGCGACGCUUUGGUGACUUGGGCUGUUUCAGUGACACAGUACAUCUAGUGAUACCAUGAGCAUACCCCUUCUGUUUGCAGAGAGAUGUCUGUGUUGAUAUCUUUGUUGAUAUCUUCGGCCACCUGCUGUCUUGCUUUAUCUGAUUAAUAUGUUAUUGAUUUUUCAUGUAAUCGGCAUAUCCAUUCACACAGUAAUUAAAAUCAGAAGUAUUUUGUUGUGUGGAUAUCUGCACUGAGUUGACACCUGGCCUAGAUGCUGUACGUGAACAUCUUUUAUUCAUAGAUUUUGUGACCUAGAACCAGAAUUAUUUUAAUUAGGCAUGACAGACAAGUACUAAAUCAGAUGAUAAACAAACACAACAAAACAUAAAAUGGAUGAUUUCUUCUCUCUAUCAUUGCUGAUAAAUGGCAAGAAACUUCAGUGUGUUUGGCAGAGUGCUCUACUUCCUCUUCUAUAUGUGUCUGGGAAACAAAAGGUACAUUCUAUAUUAAUGUAGGUGUACUACAUCUAAAAAUAAAUACAUGGUGAUCUCCCCUUCACUCAGGAAUAAAUAAGAGCAAAGCUAAACUUGCAUCUUCAGAGGAAUGUAGACAGAUCACUGAAUGCAUGCAGACAGAAGAGGUGCUUGGGCCACAUGGGCUAAUGGUGCUAGUUGCAGAGCAAAUUCAAAGUUCUCUGAAGUAAAAAAACACCUAAUGGGCUUUGAUGGGUUUCAGAUCUUUGGUUCUUGUGACAAAAGUAAGCUGUUCAAAUUUAUCUGAGAAUUGCCGUUUGCACUUAACAAAUGUCUUUACUUUCUUGCAGGUUAUCGCAAUUUCUUUUUGUUGACAGAUGAGGUGGGAUUGCUCCUCAGAUGCAGCUGAGAUGUUUACAUACAUACUUUUUUUUGAGAAAUCAGAUGUCAGAGUAGAAUCAGGCGCUUGAAGGCUCCUGACAGUAAAAGACAAAAUGGAAGUAAGACACACUGCACACUGCAGCAAAACCAGAGUGUGCAUAUGGAAAGCAGGUUUUUAUUGUAACUGUACAAAAAGAAAUUCUUGAAGUAACUUUCAAGAGGCUCACCCUCCAACUAAAUUAAUGGCUCACACUAUUCCAGCUUUCUUUAGGAUUGCGGAUAACUAUGCCAAAUGCACACUUGCUUUUUAUAUCUGGAUUUAGACUCUGUUGUGUGUGACCACACCUGCUGGGUAAUCCUACCUGCUGAUCCUACCUGCCUUCCCAAGGGAAGUGUAUCUCUGGCUGGCUGACAGAUCAGGGAGGGAAACUGCCAACCACCACCAGGACAGGAUGUUUCUCAGCUUGGAGCUUUGCCUGCAAGAGAUGGGAGGUGCCUGUCCGACUCAUGUGACACAGCACCAUGGAGAAAAGCAGUGCCAGGGCAGAGACCUUCCCUUGCCAUACUGCUUGGGAUCACGCUGCGACAGGGAGCCUCUGCCAGCCAUGGGGCUACCAGCUCCACAACAGCCCUUGUCUCACCCAGGAGUGAGCGGGGGCCACCCAGCCGCCCCUGGGCAGCACAAAGGCAGCACUCCUGGCCCAGGCUGAGCUCCAAAUGGUGGUGGGAGCCCCACGACAUGCCCAUGGCCAUGGGUCGGGGAUGCAGGAAGGAGCACCCUCCCCAAACAUCUCCCUGCUGUAGGCAAUGGUGCCUACAGAGCUCUCCACUCUCUGUGCAAAGUGCUGCAGAUGGUGGUUAUCUGAUCUAGCCUCACUGACCCUGCAGAUGUGGAUAUGGAGCAGCCACAUGGCCACGGCACUGGAAAAGAGGCUUAAAAUCUGCUCCCGUUUCCCAGAGGGUGUUUACUUCCUCCCAGCUGGCAGGCAUGACUGACUAUACAAAUACUCCUUGCCACCGUGAGGACAAAGUCAAACAAGCAAGCCUUCAGCCACAAUUUAUGUUUGUGUGGCUUUGCUCUCAGACACAUUAAGAGUGAUUAUACGCAGGUAACCACCUCUUAGAUGGGAGAUGGUAACAAAGAGCCAGGAGUUCAAAGACCAGCCAGAGUCACCUGUUCAGUUAUGAACUGGGAUACAAAUGAUAACAGACUGUGAAGCAGAAUUGCCACUAGACUUAACAACAGGUGGGUAAUUAUUCCCAGAUCACUUCAGUACUGAAAAGUGCACCUCAAUGAUUUCAGCCGUGUAAAGUAACCAGGCUUGGGCUCUUCCAGGCAGGGAGUCUCAGGCAUGGGUUCAGUCAGAAGAGCAGCAAAACAGGGGCCUCUCUGAGCAAUGGUCCUACAGGGCAGCAGCAUCACCCAUCCGGUACCUUCCCCCCCACCCAGCAGGUCCUCUGCCAGCACAAAUGUUGAGCCUCAGCUGGAGAAUCACGGGGAAAGGUGGGGUAGGCUAGCCAUGAAAAAGGGAUCACAAAACCUCGAAGUGGGAAAGAAACAGAAGAGAGAAAAGAAGAUGAGUGGGAUGUGGAAGAGAAAGUUGUCCAGAAGAAGAAAGAAUGGUGUUUGUUGAAGGGUGGACAUCUCCCUCCUGCCAGCCUGUUCCCCCCAGGAGGCAGGAGUGCUGCAGGGAGGAGUGGGGUGACUCAGAGCGCAUCCUCACCCUCAGCCAGGGCUGGAGGAAGGGUUGCACUGUGCUGCGAGCCAGGGCUGACCGUACCGCACGAGGUGUCGGCACCUGGGUGAGACAUAAAGCCAAGGCCUGUUUACUCUGUCUGCUCAUCACAGCUCUUAUCGGUUUUAUUUCAGAAGAGCAGGAUGUGACACCUAGUUUCCUGCCCAGAUUUUAACCAGGGUGAACUAAGCCACUUCUUGUCAUGUGGCAGCACUGAAGAAACAAAGCUGCACGUGCUUUCUCCUCCUCCCCAGUCCCCUCAAAAACAAGGUAUUGCAGUAGCGCAUUGAGAACUUGGACCUCAUACCUGCAAAUGCUUAAAUGUGUGCUGAAUUUUACUCCUGAGCUUCCUAGUUUGACCUUGUGCAGGGCUUAAUCCUGCCUUUAAUUAAAUACAUGGCAGGAUUCCCACUGUGAGGAAACAAAGUUAUUGUCAUUUUGCAGGAAUAGGAAUAUGGUUCUAUGCCCACAGAAGUACAUGUGAUUUUUCUUACUGAUCAUGCAUUAAUCAAACCCCUUGCUCCAAAUAAUAACAAUAAUUAAGUACAAUGCAUUCUCAAGAAGCAGGUAUAGUGGCGCACGCAAGGGUCAGCACAGAUCAUGUACUUCUAACAUGGUCAGUACAGAAUUUACUCAUUGCUAGGCUUGGAAAGCAAACAUGGAUGCUGUUUAUCUGCCAUUUUAAUUACUACUAUAGCACUGACAUGGUGGAGAAUUCCACAGCUGUGAAACAGCAACUGGCAGCUGUAUUUCCUGCACUACCCCUGUCUUCAAAGAGGUAAAACACCUGGUGCUUUUCUAGCUCUUCUAGAAAUAUAAAGGUUCUUUGCAUAGAGUAAGUCCUGUUAUGGCCACACACAUGUAUAUGUAUGUACAUAUACAGUGACAUGUCUGUAAUUACUGAGAAAAUGAGGGUCAGACACAAGAAAAACUGAAGUUUUUCAAAAUUAGACAGUAACCAAAACUAGAAAUGGGCCAUAGGUGUCCUCACUCACAGCCUUCCUUUGAACAUUAGCACACAGUUCAAACAAGAAACAACAGCAACCAUAGCAGCCUCAAGCAAACAUUAAUGGGCUUGAGGAGAUGGGCUCUCCAUGAAUUCUCUGCAGUUUGUGUUCAGAUAGGCAUUUGCAACAUGCUGAAAUGCCCCAGUGUUGCUCUCUUCUCACCUAAUCUCAUCUAAAAGGUCAUGAAUCUGACCUUUCCAUAUCAAUUCUUGUGCAACAUGGAUAGCAUGAGAGUUUUAACCAGGCAAGACAAAUAAAAGCCAACAUACAUGACUUCAGUCACGUUAUCUGCCUUAGAUGUUUUUACUCAAGGAUUGCCCCCGCUUCAUUUGCUGAGUAGCAAAUGAAUGGCACUUUUGCAGAUUUAACCUUUGCUUUAUGUUACUUCUCAUUUCUCUGAGUCACAAGGGGUUUAUUCUCUGUUCUUGAGCUCACCUGCAAAAAGCACAAUUUCCUUUCUCUGCCAAAAACCAUGCACACACAGAGUAGAGACAAGAAGAAAUACUUGUAUCAUUUCUCCUUGGCUGAUUUGAAGAGAUCAAGUAGCUGAAAGCAACAAUGUCUCUGCCACGUUUACAUUCCUGCUGAGCAGGUACAGGCAGAGCACAGACCCAGAUGCAUCUACCAUGGCACCGCUGCACACACAAAUACUCCUCUGGAAAUUGAAGCUCCGCCAAAGGGAAACUCAAGGGUCUUUUUGCAGUAUCUAAGGUGGGGAUUAACAUUUGCAAUUCUGUGCAGUUUUUAUUUCCUUUGGGCAACACUUCUCAUGCCAUAAAGACAUAAUUCUGCAGUUCCUUUUGCUUCUAGUUACUCAUCAUACCUCUCAUAAAAAGAGCGAUAGAAUAUUAUCUGACUUACUCUUGCUGUUUUGCAGAUGAUGUUUUGCCAGCAAUGCCUUGUCCAGCCUGAGGAUGCUUUCAAAGCACUAGUGAAAAAGGACUCUUUUCCACAUUUUUUAAACCUGAAUUCUCUUUUAGUAAUUUUCUAAAUGUCUGACUUGGCCCAAAUUUUUGCAUGCUAUAGCUGCAUCUGAGUACCUCUCCUUUUGCAUAUCUGACAACAAACCAAAAUUUUUCAAAGAAUGAAUAUGAGGACUAUCGGAAAGUCAGGCCUCUUAACCAUUGCUCACAUUGGAUUUAGCCAGAGCUGUGAUAUACCAAAUAAUCAGAUAUUUUUGAAAAUGUGAAGAAAAUCUGUACUCUUUCUAGGAGGCUUUUCAGUCCUGAAUGCCUAAAUAGUGAAUUUUCCCACUGAUGCGCCAGUGGGGUGGCACAUGCAAUAAGUUGCAGAAGAGCCUGUUCUUGUCUCUCCUUGUUCAUAGAGCUAGGGCAAAUCUCCCUACAUGGAAUUUUCACAAACUUAUUUGUGGAGUGAUUUGAAAUCCAUUAAAGAAAAGCAUUCCUCAAAAUUGAGAUGUCAUUAGAAAUAGUCUGUUAGCUAUGAAUCCUCACUCCUUCCCUCCAACAAAAAUUUUUACUUCAGCAAGCAACAGGUUGCUUCAUAUCUUGAGGACUGCAUAUUUGCCCCCAGACAAGCCUCCUCUGGCCCUUCCCAUAGACACAGCUCAGAAAAACCACCAUGGUCCAAACUGUUCAAGGUUUAUAUGUAGACACAAUAACUUGAGUAAGACGGGCCUCAUCUUCUCUCCAGCGAGGCCAGAGAUUGACUAGCCAAUGGUGGUGGUGAGCAGGGUUUGCCCUGCAUCCACACAAACAGCACCAGGAUCCAAAGCUGGAGAAAAAAGCAGGGCUUUCUGAGCUAGGAAGGUGGCUUCCACCCAAAGCCCCAUGCCUGUACAGCUCUUCAUCUCUUCCCUGGCCACAUACACUUGAUAUUGCUCCACCUGUGCAGCACGUGCUUUGUUGCAGGCACUAACAGAAGGAUGCACUUGGGGUGUCAUGACUGAGGGCCAGCAACGUCCCCGCCACCAGCUGCGGCAGGGACAGGCCAUCUCCGAUUCACAGGCAGCAUGUGCAGAGAGUACAGGGAAGAGGCAGGGAGGGUCAGAUCCAGCUGGCAGAGAGGAAAGGAAAACAAAGUAAGAGGGAGACAGGGUAUCUUGGGAAGCUGCAAACAUCUUAUCUAACAGGCUCCCAGGGUCAUAACACCACCAGUCUGGCCCAUUGCCCCAGCUGUUUCUUCCAGUUGUUGCUAGUGCCAUAUGGCCCUGAAUGCCCGCCUUCUCCCACUGCACUGCCACUUGACUACUUUUCCGUUGCAAUUAAUAAAACCGCAGCUGCCUUUGCGCAGUUCUUGUGAACCACUGCUCAGUGCUGAUGCAUUAAUUCUCUUGGAAAACUUUGCAACUUUUGAACCUAAUUGGUCUUGGCAAGGAGGGACAGACACACUAUUGCUAAACUGUUAGCAGCUUGCAUUGCAGUGACUGGUUCAAACUUCUAGGGUUUAACAGGGAAAGAAGCUGGGGGAAAAACAUUCUGGAGCUGUAACAGUUUCCAGUGAAACAAGCAGUGCUCCCACAAAGCCUGCUGUGCAGCUCCAAGCUGCGCUCUGACUUCUGCUGUUGAACAGCUUGAGACUUUACACAGUCAUUACUGAGAACAUUUUUUUCAGCUAAUAAUUUGAGUAACCAUAUCCUUAACUUCAUUGUGACUUCUGUUAGACAUUCACAUCUAAGUUGAGUUACUGUAGCCAUCUCGCUCACCCAGAAAACUAAAUGCAAGUGGGGAAGUGAUGCCUGGAUGAGCUAAAGUAACUUCCUGAGGUUAUGCAUAAAAUCUGUGCCUUGAUGCAGGACAUGAGCUUAGAUCUUGCAGGUCGUGGUCCAGUGCUUGCACCCACACAGGUAGUGGUCAGGAGUCAUCCUACCAAUGGCAACACUAAAGAAGAAAGGACACUUCUCAGAAAUGGCAGAAGCCAAGCUCGAAAAGGCAAACAAAAACCUCAGCACUAUAAAAUCCUUCAACGAUGAUGUGGAAUGAGCACCUGUGCAUGGCCAGGAUGAAAUUCACCAUUGCGAGAAUGGCUAUCUCAAAGCUGGAGCACCCCAGCAAGCUCUUGCUGUGAACAGUCUUGUGUUACUUGCAGGCAGUGACAAAACUUCCUUGGCAGCUUUAGCUGUGCUGGAGCCAUCUGUGUCUUCUCCCUUUGCAAAGCAAAGGAGGAAAACAGGGAGGAUGUCCAAAACAGACAUGGCCACCCCCUGCCCUCCUGGCAGCAGCAAGAGCAGCAAGCUGGAUUUCCACAGGCCUACCCACACGUCUCCAUCCCAUGUCCAUUCUGCCUCUAGCUCUGCUUUCUGGCAGGAGGCUUUUUUUUAUUAUUAUUAUUUUUGUCCAGCAUUGCCAAGAAGCCUUGAGCUGGCUCUGCAGAGCCCCACUGAAAUCCCAAAGAAAGGCAUAAGUCUGAGAUUUAUGUUAGCUUUGGCUCAGUAAUGAAUCUCAUCUGCAGUGCCCAGAUGGCCAGUUUCUGCAUUUGUUGGAUCUACUGCAGUUUAAGACCGCGUGUCCAAAGACGUGUCCAAAGGUAGGAUUUGGCCAAACAGUAAACAAGAGUUUAAUUCAUACACCAGCAGAGACCAAUCGCAUUCUUAACUGCCUCUGGGUGACAUGGACAUCCCUGUGGAAAGCAUCCUGCACCUGGAAAGCAAAGGGCUGCAGCAGCUGCCCCGCUUCAACCCAGAGAUAUUUUCUCCAAGGCCAUUGUGUUGUAUCGCUCCAAGAAUCUCAGAUUUAUCUCCUCAGUGUGCCAGCACUUGACAGACCUACCUUGUAAAUAUACAACACAUAGUAUGACACUUUGACAGCUGCUCUGCCAUGGACAUACCUUAGAGUCCUGUUACUAUCUCCUUCUCAGCUGUGGCAAAAGUUGCCUCAGGAAGCCUGAAGAACAGCGUCAGUAACAUUAGGGGGCAUCGGGGUCUGCCUAGGGCCUCCAGUAGGGCUCCACAUGCCCAUGCUGCUGAUAGCGUAACUAUUUCUACUAAUUUGUCAACAUAUUACAUGAAAACCAGAAUGAUCUAAUGGCUGGGUUAGAAGCAACUAAAACAAUGAAAAAAAACCCCGAACCCAAAACCCCAACCAAACAGGAAGAACACUGUAGUGGUUUGUUACUUAAGUUCAAUUUGCAGCUCAUCUGGUAUUUUCCACUAGGGGUGUGAAUACUAUGAGAAAUUUCAUAAACAAAGGUCCAGCCCUUAUGAAUAUGGGUUUUAUUUUUCAGACACUUUUGGCUCAAUGAAAUGUUCUGUUUUGACUGUAAUUUCUGAAAUAUUUCUUUACAACAUAGACAUAGACCAUAGGCUACAACUUCUGCAUCAGUAAACCAUAGACUAUGUAAAGAUAUUUGCAACUGGGAGUAAUGGCAUGCAAAUACAUAGCUCUGGGUUUCUGAUGAGAGAGAGAAAGUUGAAUAGUACUUGGCAACAGGCUGGAAAUAGGAAGCUGCAAAAUCUAGGGGUUUUGGCAGAAGUCUGAAAAAAACAUAGCAAAUGUUAAGAAUCCGGGUCAGCUGCACUGGUAGCUCACUGUGUUGCCUUCAGCUGGUCUCUGUCAGCAAACCCACAAGCAUCUCACCUGAAAUGCGCUUUAGUGCUCCUCAUAUACAUGCGAACACACACACAGUAUCCAGUAAGAUAACUAUAAAAUUUACCUAGCAAACGGCAGAACUGGCGGGAGAUAUCUGGCUACUGCUGGAAAGAUUAAUGGCAAACCACCAAUAUCCUUCAUGCUUAGCUUCACACAGCUUUGUUUAUUAUUUAUUAUUUAUGGAGCAGCUGAGAGAAAAUUCCAGGAUGAUCGACCUCUAUUUAGUAAGCAGUACAGCGUGCACAAGGGGAAAAAAUGGAAAAGGCCAUAUGCACCUCCUCUAUGAAAAAAGCCUGUAAGCAAACAAUUCACACUCUAGUAACUCUCAUGCUGCCUAUAGGAUUCACACAAGAGGACACCAUGAAUUUAUUUUCCCAGAAACAAUGAGUUAUUGUCUCUUGAAUUCUGACAAGUGUGCAGUGCAAGGAUAAAGGUCUGGAAAUGCAAUCACAAGACAUAUUUGAGCAAUGAAGAUUUGAACAAGUACCCAUGGGUUGGGCUACUUCACUCUCCAUGUUGCACUCUUCAUCUUAUACCAAGGAUAGGCAACAACCUUUCACAAAGCUGCUUUGUGAUUCAGGGGAAUAAGGCUGGAUGUUUUUUUUCAAGACGAUGGCAAAUGAAAGUUAAGAACUUGCAGACAGUGUUAUUAACCUGCCAAAAGUGGGACAGAUACAUGAAAUGUGAAAAGAGAACAGGAAGGAAAAUACUCCGUAAGGACAUGGCUACAUACACAAGUUACACUUUUAUCUGAAUUUUAUGGAGACGUAUGUUAUUGUGACAUCUCUCUCCUUACAUUGGAUGGUUUACAUAUCACUCCUUAUAGUUUCAAAACAAUGGUGAGAAAAUGGGGGAAAAUCUGUUGUUAGUAAAAAUUUCUCAGCAUUUCCAGAAAUAUUCACCUUUCUGGGAGGAAAAAGUAUCAGCAACUAUUUCAGUAACCCAUCCUGUCAUGCUGGCAGCUUGUUUGGUCUCUCCUUUUAAAUAAGGGUCAUACACCCAGCACUAAAAUCCUCUCCAGCACAAAGAGCAGCCAAACAGCCUAAAACUGUAACAAGUGCCUACUGAGUCAGCCCACUGGUCCAUGUUGCACAGUAGUCUUUUUCAAACGUUGAAAAAAAAAGAUGUUAUUUGGUAAGUAUAUGUGAGGGAAGACACAUUCUUCUCUCUUUUCCCCUUAUUGGAGGUGCUGGAGGGCUCCUCCUUGCCUAUUGCCUCUAGUAUUCACAAACGUGCCUUACCCUUUUCCAAAUCUGCUGAUAACAUCUGCAGCAAAUUUGAGAAGUUUGCUCCCCAAUGAAAAAAGAAAUAUUUCCUUCUACUAACUUUAAGCUGAUCCUCUUCUAAUUUAAUCAAGUAACACAGGCCCACAGUUCCACACUCAGUGUAUACACCACCUUCAUUUUAUUACAACACUCAACCUACUCUUUUCUAAAUGAAACAGUCCCAGAUAUUUCAGUCACUUCCCCUAAGGCAGCUGCUCCCUCCCCUUGAUCGUUGUAACUGCUUUUUUUUGUACCUUCACUUUCACUGAAACAGGUUGCCCAGAGAAGCUGUGGAUGCCCCAUCCCUGGAAGUGUUCAAGACCAGGAUGUUUUGGAAGUGGACUAGACAGCAGCCCCGCUGAUUGCUACAAAACCAGCAUUUACCAGACAGAGGAACUGAUGCUUAUGGAUUUCUGCCAAAAACAAUUGACCUGGUUAUCCUGACUAGGAAAAGCUGCAAUCCAGUUACAGCCAUAGCCAUCCACUUUCAAUUUGCAGAGCGGUGCAGACUUUCAGGCCCUCACAGCAUUCGUCCUGACAUCGUCACUGCCCAUGAGAGCAGAAUCAAACCUACCAUGUCAGCCUGGCAUCGCUCCCUGUAACUGCACACUUGGCAGGAGCCAAGGAGGAAGGAGGGGAGAGCAGGGACCUCUGCUGAGGCUGUAGCUGUAUGAAUAAAAAAACCCUGAAAUUUUCAUCUCUCCUAGACUUCUAUGCAAAAGCUAUUUGUUCCUUCUCAGCUCCGGGAUGUCUUUGGCUGGAAUUCAAGAUUUAGAAAAGAGAAAAUCAGAUCAGGUUUAAAAAAAAAAAAUAGUUAAAAGUCAUCUAUAUUUUAAAUAACAUAAAGGUGUAUCUGCUACUCCCCUCCCCACCCACCCCCAAGUUAACAUCUCAGAGUGAUUUCUGUGGAUUGCAUCAUGCCAGGAUACCUGGUUGUUACCGCUCCAGUUCGUGUUUUACCAGCAGGCUGCUGACAGUCAGCUUGGUUUCUACCCUGCACAACAAUGAAAGCAGACAGUUUCUUGGAAUAAACCAUGUGGAAGGACACCAACAGCAAAACAGCUGUUUAAACAUUAAGAUAGGUGUCUGAAUAGUUCCUGGCUGGGAGGUAAUUUUUACAAUCUUUGUGGAUGUGGGCAGACACAAGUAAAACAUCAGAGCCAUCCAUUUAUAAUUCCAGUCUGCAGGCAGAAGUGUUGGUCAUGUAACAUCUUUAUCUUCUGAUAGGACAAAGACUUUCUAGUGAAAGAACAACGGGUCUAUAAAGUGCUGAACCAUUCCUGAGCACAGGCCAAGUGCUGCUCCAUCCAAAGAAAUUUUGGAAGGGGCUGCAAAAGUACUGUCACAGGUUCUGGUGCAGGGUAGGGGGCAAAUGUUUCUCCUCGGGGGUCAGGUAAGGAGGACUUCCAAAAAGGGAAUAACAAAUGCUCAUUCUGCAGCCAGAAAGACAGAAAUAGGCCGAUGGUUUAAGCAGACUUCUCUUCCCAGCAACAGCAUUUGCAGGAAGAUUGCAGACUUCCUAUAUGAAGGUGUGCGGCAGAUGAAUCUGUAGAGUUAAACAGUAACUAUCUUCUGUUGGGCAAACCAUCCCUCCCCUCCUUCUCUUCCCUUCUGCCACCACCACCAGCCUUACCACAUGAUUUUAAAGCAAACAGUGGCCCCUCAGCAACCACAGCUGUCACUGGGGAGAAGAAGAGCAUUCAUCUUUGCAGAGGACAACUGCCCCACUGCCAGCAGUGCUGUGCACCCCCCAGGUGGGCACAUACACAGCACAUGCCACAGGGGUGGCACAGCCAAGUCACGGGCAGUGAAGAGGUCUCUUUUUUUCUAAGCAGUCUAAUCAUAAAUAUGAGCAGUAAACAAGAACAUGUGAGAUGGUCUCUCCUCUCAAAAAUAAUAGGCUUUGGAUUGAUGUCAACUCAGGUGACAAACUCCUGGUAACAGCAGCUGCUUUCCACUGAAAUUAUUACUUUAUAUUAUUAUUUGAGGGAAUAAAUGUGAUAAUGUUUGCCUUGAACUUUUUGUACCAAAGACAAAAGAGCAUUUUCCCCCUUCUGGUAGUUCUCAGUUGUGACAGAAAGCCUUAGUUGGGGAAGUGGCCAUGUGAGAGCACGCAGCAGUCCUCUGGCCACGA